rnacentral:rRNA from 1 species
UAGGGAAUCUUCCGCAAUGGGCGAAAGCCUGACGGAGCAACGCCGCGUGAGUGAUGAAGGUCUUCUGAUCGUAAAACUCUCUUAUUAGGGAAGAACAAAUGUGUAAGUAACUAUGCACGUCUUGACGGUACCUAAUCAGAAAGCCACGCCUAACUACUUGCCAGCAGCCGCGGUAAUACGUAGGUGGCAAGCGUUAUCCGUAAUUAUUGGGCGUAAAGCGCGCGUAGGCGGUUUUUUAAGUCUGAUGUGAAAGCCCACGGCUCAACCGUGGAGGGUCAUUGGAAACUGGAAAACUUGAGUGCAGAAGAGGAAAGUGGAAUUCCAUGUGUAGCGGUGAAAUGCGCAGAGAUAUGGAGGAACACCAGUGGCGAAGGCGACUUUCUGGUCUGUAACUGACGCUGAUGUGCGAAAGCGUGGGGAUCAAACAGG